rnacentral:ncRNA from 1 species
GGCCGGGGACGACCCCGGCCUGAUCCCCUUAUGCCGGGACGACCCGG